GUAGAUAGAUCUUCAGCUCAGGAGAACAUUUUAGGUUUAUUAGAUAUUCAUACAACUGACUCCUUCCUCGCUAAUUCCGCCAAUACUUUUUCAUAUCCUGGAUAUCAUAAUGUCACCAAGAAUGACCGGCAUGUAUAUUUUGUAACAAAAUCAUCUGAAAUUACUAAACUAAUAUCCCAUAAGAUUGAUUAAAUUCAAAUAAUUUCUUCGUGCAAUUUUUGCGGGGAUGAUUGUAUUUUGUUGAAUAAAAAUGAAAAUAUUCAUCUUCACUUUGAAAUAGAGACUUCGAAGUUUUUCCUCUCACUUUGUUACAUACACGCGGGAGCACACACAUACACACCCAAACACAUAUAUAUAUAUAUAUAUUUCGGUUGUGUAUUGCUCAUCUAGGGUUGAUAACAAUAACUUUCCUGAGGUAACUAUAUAUCACGUAUACCUUAUCGUUCUCUAAAUUAGUAGAGUAGCAAAAUCUCUCAGACAAAUGGUUCGCAGUUUAAUAUUUCGCUUAUCAGGAAAACAAAACUUUUGCACAUAGAGAAUAUUUACAAUUAUGAAAGCUGAUUUUACAAUCUUGAAUUAGCCUAACUUUAUAUUUUGUUCUUUGUUGUGACACAUGAUACAAAAAUAAUUCCUUCUUUACAAACACCAUUCGAUUCUUCAUCCAACACUAGAUUUGUAUAAUGGAAAGAAUCUAAUUGCGGUUUGUACAAUCAUGUCAACGUUGUCUCUCAUGUAUUUCAUGUAGGAUCCUUGAUGCCCUCAUAUAUAUAACAAUAUAAGGCGGCGAGCUGGCAGAAACGUUAGCACGCCGGGAGAAAUGCUUAGCAGUAUUUCGUCUGCCACUACGUUCUGAGUUUAAAUUCCGCCGAGGUUGACUUCGCCUUUCAUCCUUUCAGGGUCGAUUAAAUAAGUUCCAGUUACGCACUGGGGUCGAUACUAUCGACUUAAUCCGUUUGUCAGUCCUUGUUUGUCCCCUCGGCGUGUAGUCCCUUGUGGGUAGUAAAGAAAUAGGUAUUUCAUCUGUCAUUAUGUUGUGAAUUGAAAUUCCACCGACGUCGACAUUACCUUUCAUACUUUAAGGCUCGAUAAAUUAAGUACCAGUUGCGUACUGGGGUCGAUCUAAUCAAGUGGCCUCAAACAUUUAGGACUUGUGCCUGGAGUAGAAAGGCAUAUAUAUAACAACAUGUAAAACUCCGCUAUUUAGCUGGUGUAUAGCAAUAAUAGUACCUUCAUUUCAAUCCAAGCUAAAACUUUCAAUCGAGUGAAGAUCCAAUUUAACAAUACUAUUUUACAUGACUUAGAUUCUUCCUGUUUAAGUUACAUAUGAUCAUACGUAUAUAAGAGUUAAGCUGAUAAAUUAUAAUGAUAAGACCUCUAAGAGAGUACUGGAAUAUGAUCGGAUCAUUCAGAAACUUUCCCUAGUUGAUUACUGUGUAUAUGUUUCAGUAAACAUUCGUAGAAAUUACUACAUCAUUUAUAUGACUCGUAAUUCUAUAACAUGCUCUUAUUGAAAUGCAUAAAACGUUUUUCAUUGUUAAAAGCCGGCUUGGGACUGUUAUAAGAAAUUCUUCAUAGCAUUUUACAAUAUUUGGCGUUUAUGUUAUUGGAGUUAUUAACUCAAAGUGGAGUCAAUGGCAAUGAGAAUUAUUACAUGGGUUAAUGUACUCGAUUAACAAUCCCCUUCUAUUGAGCAUUCCAAAUUUCCUAUUUUCAAUAAAUGUGAUGAAGAAUUCCUGAUGGUUACAAUAACAGCUGAGAUACUCAUAUUUGUUUUGUCUAUAAAAAUAUCGGUUUAAGUGAAAAGAAAUGCUACAAACUUGCCAUUCGAAACCGCAAUAUUCUUCUUCGGUGCCCAUUGUUAUCUAUUACCAUGUACUCUGUUCCUUGUUUUUAUUAGAAAUAUCAAUUCAAUUUCUCUCCUCUAGUGUAUAAAGAAAAACAACUAAAGAUAUGUGUAUGUAAAACAUACCACUUCACACAGUGGUCUUGUUUUACAAUAUUCAAUAUCAUUCUGCUUUCGCUAGUAAAUAAUUCCGGUUAUUUUUAACAGUCUGGCUUCUGAUUCUGAUUGAAACUUUCUGAUUUUAAAGAGAAAUCAAUACAGAAACUGCCCAACCGUAUCAUUUCUCCUGCCAGAAACAUGAUCACGUAUACAGCAGGUCUGAAAAGCGGAUCUAUUGAAGUGCGUCUCAGUUUAAUUUAAUUAUGGAUUUCUCUAAUCUCUAAGCGUGCAGGUUUAGUCAGAACAUGUGAAAUCAAUGGAAAUUCAUGUUGACAGAAUUAGACAAAAUAUCUGCAAUGGGCAUGGCACAAGGUUUAGUGUAGCGAAGAGAAAAAAUGAGUUCAAUUAAUCAGUGGAAUUGAUUGAAUCUCGAUUUUAGUUUCUAUUUAUUGAACUGUUUAUCGAUUUCUUUAACAGUUGUUUAUUUUACUUCCAAUGUUCUAUUAAAAAUGGUGGCAUAUUUAACUAGUCUUAGAGACUUAGGACAAAUGAUCUGGCAUAAAUUAGAACGAUAGAAUAACACAAAAGAUAUAAUGAAAAAAAGUAUUAUUAUUAUUAUUGCUGCUGUUCUUAUUGUAGUUGUUGUUCCUUGUCUAAACAACCGUAUUGUCGCUUGUUCUAAAAGUUUGGAUUGUUACCGCAUUUCUGUGAUUAAAUGUUGUUCCUUUUUCGAUUUGCAUACAAAAGAACCGUAUUUGAAAUUAGAAGCAAAUGUCCCUGUACAGAACGAAUGUUUAAAUUUCUGUUUUGUUAAACAUAAUUAUGAUGUGGACACAUGGAGAAACCGGUGUCAACAACACCAACAGAAUAGAAUUUCUAAUCUAAUAAAGAACAGAACACGAUUGCAAAGAAAAUUAAGAAUAUUAAAUGCACAAACACGCAAAACACAAGAAUUGAAAUAGAAAUGAUUAUCAUAUGUAUUUUUAUUAACUUUGAAAGACGAGAUACGGGUGAUGAUUUUUCUAAAGAAUAACAACUACUACAGCAUGAAAAGAAAUAUAUAUUUGCACACGCACAUUGUGUCAAAAAGUAAACGGAAAUAUUUUUUUAAAAUUUGUAUUCCAACGGUGAAACUGGACAUGGCUCAAUGCAUGCAGAAAUGUAGUCUGGCAAAAAUACAGUAAACCAGACUGCUGAGUCCUGAGCAUUUCUAAGAAUUUACAGCGUACAAGCAUUCGAAUUUUCGCAUCCUAAAAUGUGGGCUUUCAUUAGGUCUUAAAUAGGAGAGAUAAGCGGUUGUGCUUGACGCGCUGGGAGAUUGUCACCAAUGAAAAGAAUUAAAACAACUGUAAUGCAUCUCCGGUAUUUAAAAUGGAGAGUAAACCAGAACAUUUGCUAAAAGCUAAGAAUGCCACACGUAUCUUUUAACAUAAUACAUGAACCACCACAAAACAAUGAAAUAAAAUACAAUGAUGUUGAAUCAAGUCUCCUUGUAUGGAUACGAAAUGAGUGAAGAUCUGAUAGAAAGAGGAAUUUUGUCAAGUGUAGUAGAAUAAAACUCUAUACUUGAUCUGUAAAAAAUUGGGGACACUCACAGCCGAAGCCACUUUUGUGACAGUACAUAGGAGGCGUCCGACUGAGGUUCUACAUGUCUCUCACUUUAUUUCUGUAAUUAUUGAUGUUUUGUAUGAAAGGGACGAGGUUUAAGGGACACUGUCAUUACAAUUGUUUGUGUCUUUAACUAUUCAAAUGAAAAUGAAUAUAUAAAACGUACAGCUUGUCGUUAACUGCUAAGAUUUCUACUCGGACAUCGUUUCCGACAGCUUAUUAGUUCUAGACUUCCUCUGUUUCACGUAGCGUCAGAAAAUGUUUUAGUUUGUCGAUGAACUUGUUAUUGAAAUGAUUUCUUGUAUUUUUGUUCACAGCUUUUGUUAUUAUGCUCUCUAACUAAAAUUUAGUUGAUUUAUAGUCAAGUCUAUCUUAUGCUGUUAAUUGUUUAUCGUAGAAUCGAAGAUGCACAAUUGUUGUGGCACUAUUUUUCAGGGAAUGACUAUAUUCAUGAUGUUAUCGUAACGCAAGUGAAAUGAUUUUUGAAGAUAUGUUAUUUGAAAACUUUUGCAUAUAGAAGAAAUUAUCAUUGUUGUUGUUGCUGUUGUUGUUCUUUCUCAGAGCACUCGGUCUUUUUUUGCACUGGUUUAUCCGGUGAGAGCAGAAAUCAGCCUGUUGUCAGACGUCUCACAGUAUGGCUUUCCGCACGUUAUAAGCUUUGAUACUUGGUUCUUAAUUACCGUGGAAGACAUUACACGUCCCAUUACCAAUCUCAAAACCGUAGUUGUCCCCAGCAGAGCAGUGUUUUGUGAUCGCUCUGCUUCCAUGUCAAUCUCGUUUUCUCUGAUAUAUUUCUUGAACUUGGUUGUCAGUGCUCCGAGCGCCUCCUCAGCUACUGGAAUGACAGACACUCUCCUCGUAGUUCACAUUCUUGCAAUUUCAUGUUUUAGUAGCUUGUAUUUCUUCAUCAUUUCCAGUUCAUUAUCAUCUACUCGUGCAUACCCAGGUAUAGCAAUAUAUAUGACCUUGGUUUCCUUUAUCCUUCAUCUACCACAACAGUAUUUAGUCUCCGAGCAUCAAAUAGGGAGUCACAUUGAAUUGUAAAAUCGCACAGUAUGUUAUGUUCUUUGUUCUCGAUGGCACAUUUCCAUGUUUGUAUCAUUUGCGUGUACCCCCCAGGCCAUACGUUUCAAAUAGCCUCCAUUCCAUUAAGGUGAUUAGUUGUCAGAACCAUUAGCACGAUAAACAAAAUCAUACACAACAUUUAGUCCUUCUAUGUGCUGUUCUUGUUGUUAUGUUUAUUAUACUUGUUGGUAUCUGUAUUACAACCCUGAUAAUUAUUAUGACAAUGAAUAGCGAAGGCAUAGGCUAUUGUAUGGAGUAAUAUUUAAUAAAAUUAAUUAGAACAAACGCUAUCGCUAAAAAUGCUGGACAACUCAUGGCUAAGUAAUUCUGCAGAAUCCUAUAACAUAAAGGUAUAUAGGCUAAAUACGUAGACUACAUUCAUCGUGUUUCCGUGUAUUCCAAAGUGAAUAUAAAAAUACGUAUACAUAUAUAUACAACACACACACACAUAUGUAUAUAUAUAUAUAUAUAUAUAUACAUAUAUACACAUAAGCUAAAUGCACAUAACUGGGAUAUUAAAGAACACUAGGAUAUUCAUCCAGCAGAAACACGUCUUGGAUUGCAAUUUGAUCAGAAUAAUGCUUAAAUAAAUAAUUUUUGAAGAUAUAGAAUUAUGGCUUUAUGAUGCUUAGAUUAUGAAAUCUAGGGGAGUGAACUCAGGAUUUACCUGUAGAGUGAAGAACUGUUCAAUUCGUUGUCUUAAACGAUUUUGUACGUUCCCUAUCUAUUGGCAUGAUUUACAGAUUUGUUAUGAAGUAAAUGAACUGCCUGAUACACCAACGACGCUUAAGAGAAUUGUACUGAAGUUAAAACUUUAAAAUAUCUAUGCACACUAAAUGCGACACUGAAAUUAUGUAACAUGCAUUGUGUACAUUCCCAUUAUUGGUAGAAAAAAAUAUGCGAAAUUAGCUGCGUGUCAGUUCAGAGGUUAUGUCUUUCGAAUUUAUUGUUCUGCUACAUUAAGUAAAUUAAUGCUUUGCAAAUAAUUCGCUAAUAGUAUGUUGUAUAUAAAGAGGUAUACCUCCGCUGUAAGUGCAAAAGACACAUUACAGUCACAUCAAAAGUCUUCACAGCGCAACUGUAAAACUGCUUCACAUACGGAUCCUAUACUAAUUGAACUUGGCUGCACCAUGGAAGGAACACUGCCACAGUGUAGAUAUAGUAGAUGUUAUGUAAGGAAUGCAUAUGUUUGCACGGAUUAUUUCGAGCAUAUAGUUGCGAAAGAAAUUCCGUUCCCUGUAGACAAGAAAUACUAAUCGUUUUACUUCCUAAUAAAUGCAAUAAAUCAAUUAGUCCUCCAAUUAGAUUACUUUGAAAACACGUGCAGGCUUUCAUUUGAUUUCCAUUUUUCUUAUGCCUUAAAACAAACACUAUCUUCUGAAUUUAAAUUAACCGAAAAAAUAAGACCCGGUGCCUUAGCUGGGUCUUAUGUUGAUAAAACCAAGCUAAAUAAUGGGUUUUUUUCUUAUCUUGGACACACGAAGCAGAAAGUAGUCACUUUUGAAGAAACCAAUCCGUACUUAGUGUAUUAUAUGUAACUUCCGAUGAAAUAUAUGUUCACAGGAACGAAACGCUACUGAUAUUUAUCCGUAUAUAUCAAAAUGUAUGAACCCAUUUAGAUACAGUAUUCAAGGAAACUUAAACUUCGUAACCCUGCAGACAUGAGAUGACAUUUUAACAUGUAGCCAGCUUUUCAGCGACUAGGUGUAGGAACGGUUUAUAGGAAAUAAGAGUGACCAUCUUUAAGAGGACAUGUUAUGAUACGGGAAAUUAAUGGGAGUAGAAAUUUUAUAGAAAAUCAAAAGGAAAUGAAGAGAUAUGAGAUAGAAUUCAGAGAAAGUUUAGAAGCAUAAUUAAUGUGAGGGUCAGUGCCUGGGGUGAGAAUAGGCAGAAAACAGCUUCUGAUAAUUGUUGGGCUCCUGUGAAAUGUAAUGUACUGAUAAUUGCUGCAGAUGUUAAUGGCAUUAAUUUUAUUAAUGUAGGAGAUGACAAUGAUAAUAAUUCCAGUUUUCUAAGACAUGAAGGAUAGUAUCGACUAGAUGCUAUCCGUUAUGUUCAUACUGUUAUUUAUUUUUUUUUAUAUCUCUUCUCGAAUGCUGAGAGGGCUGAAACGAAAAUUCAUCUUACGCGAAGUAUAAAACCUUAAAAUAAAUUGGAUUUGAUGUGCCACUAGGCCUUUAGAGAUGAAAGAGAAAAUAAAAACCCUUUGAGAUUUCAGCUCAUGACGUAAAUGAGGAAGGUGAAUCAAUUUGUGCAUCUUGUUCCACCGUCUGUUCAGUACUUCAUUCUUUGCUUGUUGUUACGACGUAAACUGAUAUCAUUUGCAGAGACGGAAUCACCUCAAAUUGAAUCAACUGUGAUAUAUUGUCACUUCAUGUGCAUUGAUCGUUAUCACUACACUCGAAAGAGGGAAAUAAUAAUAAUGAUGAUGAUGAUGAUGAUGGUGAUAAUAAUAAUAAUAAUAAUAAUAAUAAUAAUAAUAAUAAUAAUAAUAAUAAUAAUAAUAAUAAUAAUAAUAAUAACAACAACGAUAAUAAUAAUAAUAACAAUAAUAAUAGCAACAACAACAAAAAUAACGGCAAAAACAUCGAAACAAGAAGAAGUGAGGUUUAGUAUGAUUUGAAGCCUUAUAACGUGUAAGAAACAUACACAAUUCAAAAUAAUAACAUUAAUAAUAACUAUAAUUGUUAUUUUUGUUCUUAUUACUAAAAUUAUUUUUAUUUUUGUCAUUAUUUUAUUACUAUUUAUUUUUGGUAUGCUAUGUAAUGUCCCUUCUUUUCCAGUGUAUACCGUGUAUACUUAUGGUUUUUUAAAAUCAUUUUAUUAUUAUACCCAAGCAGCCUCAAUUUAUGUCUAUCGGCGUUCCUCCCAUCCUUCGCCCUUGUGACAAAGAAAUGACAUUAUUAUCAUUAUUAUUAUUAUUAUUAUUAUUAUUAUUAUUAUUAUUAUUAUUAUUAUUAUUAUUAUUAUUAUCAUUACUAUUAUUAUUAUUAGUGGCGAAGCCUUACUGCAAGCCCUCGUCCUGUGUCCGCGCAUUGGUGACAUGUGGGGUUACGUCGAACAGUUACGGUGACAUGUGGAACUGUAUAAGUCUGUAACACUUUCCAGACAUUUAUAAUUUAAUUAUAUAUGCAUAUAGUUGCAUAUCUAGACAUGCAACUGUAUGCAUCAGAAGUCAUACAAAAAUAAAACAUAAAAAUCUGCAUGUAGACAUACAUGUCGAUGUUGUUGAAAUUCCAAUGAUCUAGGGAAAAUCUUGAAAUAGCACUGAAUAAUGACAUACAUAUAUUUAUACAUACAUAUAUACAUACAUAGACUUAUACGUGCCUUUGCGUAAGAAGAUUGUUUCCAAUCCACAAACCUACAAGUUCAGUGCCACAACGUGUCUAAUUCGGCAAGUGAUUUUCUGCUAUAAUAUUGAGCUGAAAAAAUCUUUGUGAUUUUAUUUGGUAGACGGAAACUGAAAGAAGUCUGUCGUAUAUAAUAUAUAUGUCUGAGCCGAUCUCUGCUUGGCAGGGGUUCGGCUGAGGAGCCCUUUAGAGUAAGUACAUGGCUUUGAAAUAAUAAAGAUGUGCUGGUGUCGAUUUGGUCGACAAAAAUACUAAAAAGUGUUACUCAAGCAUGGCCACAGUCUAAUGAUGCAAACAAGUAAAAUUUAAACGUAUAUAUAUAUAUAUAUAUAUAUAUAUAUAUAUAUAUAUAUAUAUAUAUAUAUAUAUAUAUAUUGUAUGUAUAUAUAUAUAUAUAUAUAUAUAUAUAUAUAUAUAUAAACUUAUUAGAUAUAUUCUUCUGUAUACACACAUACACACCCACAUACAUAUACAGAUAUGUAUUUAUAUUAUUUUUUGGUAAAUAUGUGUUUGUUUUAUACAUAAAUAUAUGGCAAAUAUAUUUUUAUUGCCUACUUUGUAAGCCUUUUGGUAAUAUUAAUUCUGACAUUGUAGAGAGCAAUAACUUGAAAGAGAAUUUAUCCAUACAAGAAGUAAUUUACAGAGAACCUUGCUAGCUUUAAUCGUAUCUAUAAUCGUGUAUGCAUUCGCACCCUGUUCUCUCAAUAUAUUCAAUGUUCUAGAAAUGUUCCAACUUGUAUAUGUACAGCAACUAUGUAAGUGCUUCUGUCGCCGACCUCAACCCUCGUAUGAAAUAAAUUGUUUUCCUCUCUAACCUACAAAAAAGUAUGCACCGAUUUACACUAAUGCAUUCCUGUUUUAAUCUUUACAAGUGGUACUUAUUUAUCGUCGUGUCUCUUCCAUUUUAUGUUUCGAAGCAUCUAUGUAGCACAGGAACUUGAGCAUACAUGUUUAUUGGUGUAUUUGUUUUUCUUUUGACAAGUCAGCAAAUUCCUGCAAUAUUAGCUACUGUUUUUUCAUUGUACUGUUGCACACCAUCAAACCGACAAAAUAUAAUGAUUACAGCCGUUAUUGCAGACAAAAUCUUACAAGAGCUGAACUAUUAUUAUUCAUAAUGACGAUGCUCCAUCAUGGCCGAAGAUUUCGAACUAACUUUAGCAAAAAAUGACAAAAGAACAACAGACGAGUCUGAUUGCUUUAAAUCAAUAAAUCAAUCAAUUCAUUCAUGUGUUUAACACAUCAAGAAAUAUUUUUGUAGAUACGUAUGUACACACAUAUACACAUAUAUACGUCUGUGAAUAUAAACUCUAAUACGUGAACUUCUUGUAUGUUAACUAACUCUCUGCUAUUUCUUCAAUCAUGCUAUGUCGCCACAGCAAUAAUAUUACCUAAAAUGAUUUCAUAUUUAAUACAAGUAGGAUUUUUUUCUCCGUUUAAUACAGCUUAAUGUAGAAUAUUUUGUUAUAAGCGCUGAAGUCAUUUGAAUUAUUAAGGUCUCCGUGAUUCGUCAACCGUACUUAAGAAAAAAAGUUCUCAUGCUCAAAGCAGCUCCGAAGAAUAUUUAUUGAAAAGCAAUAUUCGAAAAGAUUUGUGCUGAAAAUCGUGUGAGGUGUUACUUUAUCCUGUUCUCAUUUCAUCUUCAUUUGCAUUCAUUAGCUACUAGCAACAAAUUAGGAUGGCAUAUUAGACAUAUAUAUCUUCAAGUAAGUAGGUCUACAAUGCUGACAAGAGUCAUGCUGUUCCUUCUAAGAACUACAAAGCGGUAAAGUAUUUCAAAUUAUUAUAUUGUGCUUAAGUGGGAACUAAAGGAACAAAUUGAAGCAUGACCAAACACAAUUCCACUUCCAAGCUAACAUAUUUCUUCUGAAUCGAACAUAUUUUCACUAAUUUUAAGACUACAGCAGUAUUAUUGAUUUUCUGCAAGAAAUUGUUAAUACUCAAUCGUUAUUGCAAUCUCUUCGAGAUUGCGUCUAUUCUAAAUAUGGUGCCUAAGGCUUAACUAUCACUUUAAAUUAGACAGGUGUGUUAGAAGAAUGAGAAUCUGAUCGAGUUUUCGUACACAAAGUUAUUUACAACAUUCUCCGUGUUGAUACGGUUUAUGUGAAGUUUGACAUCACCACAUCCUUGCAUUAAUGCCAUAAAUAAUAUAAUAUUGAAUCAAGCAGAAAUGUAGCAAACUAAUUCGUUAAAGCCAAAAGCUAUUAAUCGAGAUGUCUGCAAGAGAACCACCAAAAUGGGCUUUCUAUCUGGAUGCAUGCAUUUUUGAAUUGAUGCUGUUACAUUUAUUUUUAUAUUUAGCAUAAUCAAAGACUAGGGUAUACUGAUCAUGCAAGCAAUAUACAUUUGCCUAAAUAUUAAUACCAGUUACCUAUGUAUUAUAUCAAACCUAAAUUGAAUAAAUUCAAUCAAACCUAUAAAUUAAAACAAGUUAAAUAUACGUUUAUUAAACCGAAAUUCUUUCAAGACGAUUGCAGGAUCGUAAUAAAUUGCGGUAUAGAAAUGAUACAUCAAUUUUUGGUUUAUAGUUUUAGGUCCUGAACCACGAUUGAGCAGACAAGUUAUCAUUGUGUUCUAACUGAUCUUACAAUUCCUGAAUGAGAGAUAAGAUUAACCAAUAUCAAUUCCAUUUCUACUCUGUAGUAUAGGGUCUAUAUUACAGCAAGUUUCAUUGCAAGUUCUUGUACGUCUCUCCCAAUAUAGCUAAUGCUUCAUUUCUUAUAUGCUUAUAUAUAUAUAUAUAUAUAAAUAACUAUAUAUAUAUAGCUACAUACAUACACAUAGACAUACUUGCAUACAUGCAUUCAUACACAUACAAGCUUGCUGUAAUGUUUCUGACGCAAAACUACACAUAUACUGCUGUAUGAUGUCAACAAGAUCUUGUCUUACAACGUCUUAUUUUACGAAGUUUGCUAACACUAUUACCUGCAAAUUUUCACUCCUAAGAAUACAAACACACAUGCCCAUACACACGCACACUCGCAUAUACACACAAUCAAAACCAUUCCCCCGUACACACAUAAACUCACAAACACGCACACACACACAUACGCGCAUGUGAAAUAUUACAUUGCAUAUAGUAUUUAUAUGAUUCCUUAUUAACCUGUUUACUAACAUAGUUCAGUUUUUUUAAAAUAUUUAUUACAAUGUUAUAGAACGAAUUAUCACUCUAUUAUAUAAAUAUAUUAUAUUAUAUAAAACAUGAGACUAUACUUCUUAAAACACGUUUAUAUGACGUUGACCAGCCUGGAAUCCUUCCAAUUCAGGUAAUAAAGUUUAUACACAAUACAUAUACUCUCUUGCUUAUAUCAUCCAUGGAAUCCUAACAUAAUAAUAAUAAUUUUCUUGUAAAAGGCAUGUUGCCAAAUUGUACAUAUUGUGUGUCUGGAUGUUCUGGAAAAACAUCAGAAAAAUUACACUUAUAUCGAACAAAUAUUUAAUAUUGCUUUCUCUCGUUCUCUUUGAAGCUAGCUAUUAUUUAUCUCUGUCGUUUUAUUUUAUAUUUGGUAGUAUUUUCCAAUCUACUCUCAUCAAUCAGGAUCUUACUCAAAUAUUCCUUAAAAGGGUUGUUUUCUUCUUUACUACCGUUCUAUAUUUAAGAGAUGGGGUAUUUUGUACAUCAUUUACAUAUGAUGGAUAUUUGUGCAUUAUUUAUAGUUGACGAAUAUUUGUCCUCAUCUUGUCCCCGUGCAUAUGACGUAGAGGUUAAGAGCGCGGGCUACUAACCCCAAGAUUCCGAGUUCGAUUCCAGACAGUGACCUGAAUAAUAAUAAUAAUAAUAAUAAUAAUAAUAAUAACAACAACAUCGAAAAUUACCUUAGGAAUGAGAACGCAGGUUCGAAAUUUCACCAAAGCACCUGAUGAAGAGUGGAGGGUAACAACAAAGAAGAUGAGGACAAACAUCUGUCAAAUAUAAAUAAUGUCAAUAAGGUUCUUCUUUACUGGUUAUCAGUUACGCCGCACACAUAUUUUCAUUUCUUUUAAAGAGAAGAAAUAGGUGUCCUCGGCAUCAAGUACCAUUCACAUAAGAUAUUUUGAUGUCAUGUUACAUCAGGUUCCUGGAAAUAAGUUUAUACAUCCAUCGUUGGAAAAUAAAACUAUUUUGUCUGACGUUAUCUUAGUUUGGCACAAUUUCAGAUCUCUAAUGGUCUGUAAUCUAAUAUAAAAACAUAUAUUCGUCUGUCUUUACCAUCUGAGUUCAAAUUCCGCCGUGGUUGACUUUGCCUUUCAUAAUUUCAGGGUCGAUAUAUUAAAUACCAGUUGCGUACUGCGAUCGAUGUAAUCAAAACUGAUUUUUAUUAAAUACAAUAAUACGUGAACAAUUGGGUCCAUCAAAGAAGACAGAAAUUAGGUUUAUUUCAGUCACUAAAAUUGCGAAACCUGGAUAUCAAUUCGUGUGCAUUUCGUCGACAUCUUUCCUUUUUUUAGCUAAUUCCCCCAUUUCUCACACUGACUGAAAAAGAAACUAUGACACAAUUUGUUAUAAACCAAAUAAAGGAAAGUAUUUAAAAUAUCAUAUACAAUUUUAUAUAAUAAAAUAAUUUACACACACACACACACACACACACACACCUGUAUAUAUAUACAUUUCAUACUACAUCGAUAUUUAUAAUAUAACAUUGUUUGUUCCUUCUCCAGCCAUAUCUGGCUCAUUAGGGCCGGUUUCCCGGUUUACUUGGCGUAUAGGUUCCUCACCUGAAAGAGAAGCCAGUCCGUCGCAGGUGAGCUGCAAGAUGCGGGAGGAAAGUGUGAGAGAAAGUUGAGGUGAAAGAGUCAGCAGAAGUUCGCCAUUAACUAUAAAAUAUACAUAUGAUGAUAUAUAUUAUUUUCACAUAGCUAUGGUUGAGCUUCUUUAAUGAAUUUUGUGUUUGACAGAAUCCCUCUGUGAUGAAAAACAUUACAACUUGGACUGUAAGAUUUUUGUUCUUGAAAUAUUUUAUAUUCAGAACUAAAUUAUAUAACAUUUCUAGCAGCGAAGUAAUUCUAUAUUUACCAGCAACAUGAAGGCGCUAUUGCAUCCCUAUAUAGCUGGUAAAUAUAUGAAGGAAUGAAAAAUAAAUUGUCAAUUUCACCACAACCAGCAUCUCCUCUAAUCUCCAUUUCUUUCCUGUAACUGAGUUCUGAGAUUACCUGUUUCCGCAUUUUAAGGUUUCUAUAAAGUUUAAGUUGUUUCUAUAUCUUUUUAUUGAACCUACUUUAGAUAAAUGUAACUAUGUUAGUGAUAACUUUCUUGAAAUAUCCAUAAUUGCAUAUCGCUAUCGGUUCUACGGUCUUCAGCAUUGUAUCGCGGUAGAUAUAUCCAAGUAGUUCAAACUAACAACUUCUUUAAUUGGAUAUUUAUUUCACAAACUAUACAUGAUCACAUUAUGAGAGAACAUUGCCUUUUGUUUAUUCAAUUAUUACACCACUUGAAAAACAAAUACAGUUAAAAAUUGGAAUCUGGGAUAAGGAGAGUAUUGAAGACGAAGAAAAUAUUUGGAGCAUGAAACAAUGAAUUUAUAAAUAUGGAUUAUUCUAAUACUUGACUGCCUAAAAUUUAUCAAAUUAUAUAAUGUGUCAAAUUAACAUAAAUGACAUGGAUUAAUAAAUAUACUAAAAUACAUUAAAAAGGGAGAAAAGGCAUUAUCACCAAGCAACAAGGAAAUGGUUUAAAACGUGUUUCGUAAUUAUUAGACAAGUAAGUUUUCUUUCAAUGAAAUAGGGAAAUAGCGAGAAAUGCAUUGAACACGGAAGUUACCCUGAUAUCGACGCAAUUGGUAACGAGUGAUACUUAAUAUGAUAUUCUCUAGGCGGACGCUGUUACAAAAAACACAGACGGCGAUGGCAAUUCUGUUAGAAAUACACUUACUUUGAAAAAUGUUUUACCAUCCGCGAAAACAUGAACAGUAUAGUAUUACUCAGUACAGAUCUAAAGCAAAUUAUGCAAUUUGUUUAGUGGAGAUUAUAUUUAUUUACGUUCACAUACAAAAGUCUCAUGAAUUAAAGUAGGAAAAAUAACUCGUGGAUCCGAGUAAGUGUUUAUAUUAAAUGCCUCAAGAACUGUUUAUUUUUUCAUGCGACUUACAUAUUGAUAUAUUAUAUUUUGUUUUUAACGUGUAUCUUUUGAAAUGUUUAUGACAUAUUUAUCGAACAACAAUAUGAUCCGAUAUGGAAUUGGUUUAGACAAUCAAUAUGAAAUAACCGCUUAAGGACUACAUACUUUUGAUGGCGGGGAAUAUUUUCCUUACAAUACAGCCGUAGCAAAUGUACAGUUGUGAGAUCGCUAUUAACUCUUAUUUUAUAUUAUCGGCGUUAGAUUUGUAUAAAUGUUUCAGAAGUUUUGAGGGAUAGUUUAAAAAAAUAUUCUGGAUAUCCAUACAAAGCUUAAUUCGAUGCUGUAGAAGGAAGUCGGGCUUGACCAUCGACAUGUGUUAUCGAUCCUUUGUGAUAGAAAUCUCGCGAGUAAUAUGUAUAUCUAUAACAUUUAUUUCUAUAUUUCUUUCAAUUUCCUUUACUCAUGAUGGGUAAAAUCAUGCUGGUGUAUUAUUAAAGUAAUCUGUUGUGUUUUUGUUUUUUGGUGAGCUUUCUAUGCGUCUAGAGAUGCCGUGCAUUUUCUGUUGUAUUCGCUGUUAGUAAUAGUAAUAUCUCUAAAUUUCGGUUCAGUGUAGUCAUUUGCAUAUUUCUUACAAAAGAUACUGCAUGAAAGUAUUGCUUUCAUAUUUCUUUGAAUCGCGCAGGGAAACAUAGUAGGGCAUCCUAAACAAUUUAUGAAAUAGUUUGUGGUGGAGAGCUAGCAAACCCACAGAUAUUGAAUUGUUAAGGGGGAGUGUAAAUGAAAUAAGAUAUUACCUUCCCCUCUAUUUUCCCCCUCCUGUCUCUCCCCAUAUGCGUAUAUAUAUGUAUGCAUAUAUAUAUAUAUAUAUAUAUAUAUAUAAAUAUAUAUAUAUAUAUAAGUAUGUGUGUGUGUAUGUAUAUAUAUAUAUAGAGAGAGAGUGAUGGAUAGGUGUAUCCACAUAAGUAUGUAUAUAUAUAUAUAUAUAUAUAUAUAUAUAUGUAUGUGUGUGUGUAUGUAUAUAUAUAUAGAGAGAGAGUGAUGGAUAGGUGUAUCCACAUGAGUAUGUAUAUAUAUAUAUAUAUAUAUAUAUAUAUAUAUAUAUAUAUAUAUAUAUGCCUGUGCAUUUGUGAGAGUGUGUGUGUGUGUGUGUGUGUGUGUGUGUGUGUGUGUGUGCAGGCUUGUACAUAUAUACCGCAGGCAUAAAACGCCGUAUAAUGUUCAUAUUAAUAUUAUGUGAAAGCUCAAAGAAACUUUAUUGAAGUUAAAAAUAUGAUCUGUAAAAAAAAUUUUAUUCAAUAUUUGCUUGAGCAAACAAUGGGACACGAUGGACGGUUUCUUUAAUUUUACCUGAAAAAGCGAUGGAACAUUUUCUAGCGUAAUAAUCUGGUAAGGUGCAGCGAUCAUUGAGCAUUUUAACAAGAUUGGAUAUCAUUAAUUUCCUGUAUCGCUGAUUUAGACUUCCUCAUGCUAACCACUUUAUUAUAUAUUUAAUAAAAGCAUGGGUGUAGUAGUUUUAAACUGUUCGCAAUUUUAACUCGACGAUCAAUCUUGUGCUACGAACAAGUAAAUAAUAUUGGACAAAAAGUUUCAAGAUAUAUAUUAGAAAUUGUUGGCAGGCAAAAGAAAUUAUUUUUCUUUCUGUAAGUAUAAUAUUUGUAUUUCGAUGGAAACAAUAAAUCUACAAUUUCUUUUUAAUAAUUGUGUAUUUUUUGGCUUACGUCGCAAUAUCUAAAUGAAAUGCAAAUGAAAUAGAUAUGGAAAUGUUUCUUAUACUUCAUUUAUGGAAAAUUUUAAAUCGAAAAUUUGCACUCAUUCUUACGGCUGAAUUACGAAUCUUAUUCACACGUGUAUAUAACUUCUAACACACAUUUACAUAUAUACAUGUACGUAUGUAUAAGUACUAAUAAUAAAUACAUUCGCAUACUCCCACACAGAGACAAACACGUCCUAAUAUGUAUACUUAUAUUUGUUUAAGUUAAAAGUAUUUCAUAUUCUUAGUAAAUCAAUAAAGAGCGAUUCACAUUCAUAACGAAAUAUCACUGAAACUAAAGCAAAUACGAAGCAAAUACUGUAUGCUAAACAUUGGACAAGAUAAAACUAAUACAACAGCUAGGGUAAGCUUCAUCAAACAUGUGUACUUUACAUCUCAUAAGUUCGGAUUUCUUUCAAAUAUUUCUGCAUUAUUUUCCAGAUGAAUUGAAAACGAAUAGCUUUUUAUGAAAGCAGUUAUAACUGAAUAGUUCUCUCUGCUGCGUCUUGAAUAUAUAGCCAGCCUAAUGCUAGGUUGCUCAUGCAAACAUCUUUCAUAACUGUUUAAACAGGAAAAAUAUAUCAAAUGUUUGUUAGCUAGAGAGAACAUACCAGACUCAAUUUUUAUAUUAAAUCAUUGCAUUAAUACUAAAAAUAAUAAUAUAAAUAAGCAAACCUGAACAUGUAAGAGCACCCAUUUAUUUCCAGGGGAAGAGCAUUGAAAUUAAAUCAAGAAGAUAUAUAUUACAUUUAUGCAGCAUGUAUAAUCAUUUAACACCCAUAAACUAUACAGAAAACAACAAGCUUUCAACACUGUUUUACUUUAUAUGUUUAUAUAAAGAUAUUGUAAGUUAGAUAGAAUGGGGCAAGAAUAUGGGGAGAUAAUAUCUCUGUCUUUGUCUAGAGGAUAAUAGGAAUUUUCAAUAAGAUUAUAGGAACCUCUCUUGGUUUAUUGGAGAAAAUAAUACAUAACUUAAUGGCGAACAAAUAUAUAAGGUUGGGUAAUAAAAUUUGUAGGAAGAUGCAUUUUUUGUGCAGAGUUACAAAUAACAUUUGGUAUUGUAGAUUAUUUUUAUGCGAAUCGUAGAAAUCUGAAUGCGGAAAAUUGAAUUUUCCUCGUAGCAAGACAUUGUUUACAAUGCGUUUUAGUGUAUAUAAUGACAAUAAGUAAUAUGCUGGAUCUACUUUAGAUAAUUAUAUACGUCACUAUUUUUCGCUAAUCUUAAUGCAAAUAUUUUGUCAUUUUUGGUCAAUAAUGUACAGAAAGCAACAUGAAAGCAUCCCAAAGAAAACCAGACACUGAGGCUCUCUUAUAGUGGUAUGCUGUGAGGAAACUGGACUUAGACACCGCCGCUGAGGCCCAAAUAUGGACUGAAAAUCGAUUACGUUUAUUCCUUGAAUUUUUUUCAAUCUACAGAGAAAUAGUUAACUUUGCCAUGUUGGGACAUCUACUUCGUAGGUUUACAUGCACUCACAUAUACUUGUUUCCGUGUGUGUGUGUGUGUGUGUGUGUGUGUGUGUGUGUGUGUGUGUGUGUGUGUGUGUUUAGCCCUAAGCCAGCUAGGGUAGAAGGGAACAAUUACCAGCCUAUGGAUUUAUACAAGUUCUGCAUUGGUGUGUUGAACGUGUCAUUUUUCUGUAAUCUGUCUUUGGAAAUAAAUACAUAUAUCAGACAAUCUAUAAAUUACAUAUAUACACUAAACAUACAGACGUAGAUACAUGGUUACAUAAAUAUAUAGACAUAUAUAGGCAGAACAUAAAUAUAUAUACAAAUGCAUAAUGUAUGCACGCACUCACACGUACGCGCACGAGAUUUCCUGGUGUAUGAUUGUACAAGUUAAUUGUAACGGGUGAAAGAAAGAAAAGGAAUAAAUCAGAGAUUAACAAGUGGGGGGAGAAAGAAAGAAAGAAGGAAAACACAUAAAAGAAAAAGAAACAGAAAACGCACACAUAAAAUUACAUGUAUAUCUACAUAUAUACAAACAUACAUACACAUACACACACACAUAUAUCCACGCAUACAAAUAUACAAAUAAAUAUGUACGCAAAUAAAUGCUAAUACAUAUAAAAUGCAUAUACACAUAUACAUAGACGCAUAUAUAUGUAUAUAUAUAAUACGUAUAUAUAUAUAUAUAUAUAUAUAUAUAUAUAUAUAUAUAUAUAUAUAUACAUAUACAUGCAUGCACAUAUCUAGAAUACAUACAUCCAUACACGUAAAUAUAUAGAGACAUAUCUUCUCUUCACAUCAAGAUAAAUAUAUACAGCAUAUCGAAUAUACGCACACAUUAAAAAAAACCUGUCUGGUGUAUAUAUUAAAAUGUUAAUAGAAGAGGAAAUUGCACAAUAAAUUAAUAUAUCAUAAUUAAAUACGUGAGUGAACAAUAAAAAUAUAUCUCGGCGAAGCUUAAGCUUAAAUUUGUAAAAUCUGAUGUCGAAAUAUGCACUAGCAUUGUAAUACAAAAUAACUAUAAGGUGUAAAGUCAAAUUCAAAUGUAACUUGUUUCUUUUAUGGAUGCAGAGUUAUAUAUGGAUGACGGUCUUAUAGUUACCCAUAAUUUGAACGGUCAUGAGGUAGAUGAACGUAGGAAGAAUCCGAUUACUUUCUUUCAAUGCAUGGACUUACGGAUUACCAUAGAAAAUAAACUUAAUGACGUAGAUUUUUUUAGAUAUCAACUUAGAUUUGCAAUUAGAUAAAUUUAAACCCUACUUUAAGCCCAUUGAAAAGCUAUGUUAUAUUAGCAAAUAAUCUAAUCAUCCACCUGUAAUUCUUAAGAACCGAGUUAGUUGUGUAGGAAUGCUAAUAUCAUCAAUUUCUUCCAAUGAGACAGCAUUUCAAAAUGCCGCACCGUAUUACAGUAAUGCAUUAAGUAAAAGUGGAUUCUCGGAGAAGAUCCAGUAUAGUCAAGCUAAUUCUAACGUAGGAUUGAAACUAGUUUUAUGGUUUAACCCCGCAUUUAAUAUUGCUGUAAAAUCUAAUAUAGAUAGGGAAUGCUUAACAUUAGUUUCUAAGCAUUUUCAAUCUAGCCGUAAUUUCUAUAUAAUUUUUAAUUGAACACUAAAGGUUAGCUAUUCUUGUCGCAAAAAAAUCCGCCCCUUUUAUGAAUUAGCAUAACACGAAAAUUAUUACAAACAACUGCCGCGCCGAAUCUAAUCUGAAGAACUGUAACUACAAAGAUACGACUUGCUGUCUGUUGGAAGCUAAAUGUCAAGAAAAAGGAAUUGUUUAUAAAGCUAAUGUGCAAGUAGAUGGCUCAUAAGAAUAUAAAACAUACACAGGGUCUUAGGAAAAUUUAUGCAAGGCUCGAUUCUAUUCCCACCGAGAUUAGGACAUCAACUAGUCUUGCAGAGUAUAACAGGGAAUUGAAAGAGAAUGACACUCGUUCUGUGAAUGUAACCUGGGAAUUUCUAGAAAAAGCAUCAGUAUAUAGACUUGGCGCUUAUGAAAGACCCAUGAAAUCUAGUCUUUGCCUCUUAGAAAAGUUCUUCAUCUUUUUCCAGGAUACACAUCAUU
rnacentral:lncRNA from 1 species